rnacentral:lncRNA from 1 species
CGAGUAAAAUUUGAAGAGAAAAACAUAGCUCUAAAUGGUGACUAUGGGAAAGAGUUGGAUGAACGAUGCAGGAGAGUCUCUGAAGCUCCUUCUCUCCCUGUUGUCUUCAUUGAUGGCCAUUAUCUUGGGGGUGCUGAGAAAAUUUUGUCAAUGAACGAAUCAGGAGAACUGCAAGACCUUUUAACCAAAAUUGAGAGAGUCCAGCAUCCACACGAGUGUCCCUCCUGUGGAGGCUUCGGCUUCCUUCCAUGCUCUGUGUGCCACGGGAGCAAGAUGUCAGUGUUUCGCAAUUGCUUUACGGACGCUUUCAAAGCCCUGAAGUGUACAGCUUGCAACGAGAAUGGUCUUCAGCGCUGUAAGAACUGCGCCUGCUAACUGGAUCUUCUGCCUAGAGAAAGCCUCAUUUCCUUAAACAAAGGAUAACAUUUGGCUUCUGCCUUUUUUAAAAAAAAGAAUGUCAUGUUUUUAGAUUAAACAAUAAAGUUUGUAUAUUAUAAUUACCUCUGUUUU